rnacentral:rRNA from 1 species
GGUAACACGAAAUCGUACCCCAAACCGACACAGGUGGUCAGGUAGAGAAUACCAAGGCGCUUGAGAGAACUCGGGUGAAGGAACUAGGCAAAAUGGUGCCGUAACUUCGGGAGAAGGCACGCUGAUAGGUAGGUGAAGCCCCUGCGGGCGGAGCUGAAAUCAGUCGAAGAUACCAGCUGGCUGCAACUGUUUAUUAAAAACACAGCACUGUGCAAACACGAAAGUGGACGUAUACGGUGUGACGCCUGCCCGGUGCCGGAAGGUUAAUUGAUGGGGUUUUAACGAUGCUUCCGCUUUACGGAAUCCGUCGAUCCUUUGCUGUUUUGUCAUGAGGUUUCCUUUGAGCAGAAUGCGAAUAAGGCAGGCGUAAAGUUGGCUAACUUUACAUGUCCUGCCCGAACUGUGCUGUUGGUUAUACGUGUAUACGUGUAUGCAUGCAGAGUGGAAAUCUCAGGGAAACCCGAAGGAAUGCCAAAGGAAAUCUGUGUACCGGACAAGAUGUGUUUUUGGAGUACCGCCACACGCAGCGGCAUCCAAAAACAACAUGGUCAGGGC